rnacentral:rRNA from 1 species
UACGUAGGUGGCAAGCGUUAUCCGGAUUUACUGGGUGUAAAGGGCGUGUAGGCGGGGACGCAAGUCAGAUGUGAAAACCACGGGCUCAACCUGUGGCCCGCAUUUGAAACUGUGUUUCUUGAGUACUGGAGAGGCAGACGGAAUUCCUAGUGUAGCGGUGAAAUGCGUAGAUAUUAGGAGGAACACCAGUGGCGAAGGCGGUCUGCUGGACAGCAACUGACGCUGAGGCGCGAAAGCGUGGGGAGCAAACAGG